UUUUUUACAGAAAUUCUGAGCUGCUGCAUGAACAUUCAUCAAACAUAUAAGGCUGCAAUUUGGAAAAAACUUUCAAGCUAAUGCUGCUGAAAUGGAGGUCAAGGGGACUAUGAAGAGGUGGCUCCAGCUGAUCAAAAGGGUGGACUUCAGGAGGCAGACACACUCUGUUACAAUAAUCAGCUGAUCCAGUCGGUAUCCAGACCAGACGGUGGACCUGCACCAGGAGUGACCACAACACAUCCCUGACUGUCAGCGGAGACCAUGUCAGCUAGAUGACAGAUCCCUGUGAAGACCUCACUGAUGGCCUCAGCACAGAUCCUCAGCAAAGACUACGAGAACCAGACAAGCCCUCUGCACAGACCCUUUUACCAGCUUCACCUGCUGGCGUGAUGUUUCCUCAUGCAGAAGAAGUUGGAUGAAAUAUUCUGAAUGAUAUCAAUCCACAAUCUGACUUGUGAUGCAGCCUGGAAUAAUCACACCACGUUCAUUCGUUUGGCCAGACGAGACUGUUUCCUGACUGAGCCGGGUCUUGUUUGGGUUUGGGUUCCUUGUCACUGUUGCCUUUUGUCUUGCUUGGUUGAAGACACCUAAUAUUCAGCAAUAUUAUUGACUUGACUGCACUGACACCAUUUGAUAAGAACUGAACUGAAUUAUGACACACAAUGUUUUAUAUAUGAAGUUUAUUUGCAAAAACGGAUAACGGAUAAAAUUUUGUUUUUUGUUAUGUUUUUGUUUUAUUGUGUUAGUUAGCUAGUAUUUAUUAGUUAUUCUUUACCUAAUCAAAAUAACCUGCAUGCAGUUUGAUUGAGAUUAAUUGGAAUGCACAAUGAAAAAACAUGAUUUUUUAAAAUUGUUAAAAACGAAGUUAUCUGUUUCUGCAAAUGAACUCUUCAUUUUUAUAUAUAUAUAUAUAUAUAUGCAGUAAAUAUAAUUUACUUGUUACUUUGUGGUUUAAAAAGUGUAAAUGUUUAUACUGUAGUGCAUUUGUUCAUGUAUAUUUAAAGUAUUUGGUAAUUUUAUAAUUAAAGCCUUUUUAAUGUUUUUAAAUGGUUGUAUUUGUGUUUUACUGCUGAAUUACAUUUAGCAGUUUCUGGGCCACAUUCGGCCCGGGGACCAAGCCGAGUCUCAGCCAGAUCUGGCUUAAAGUGUCUGGGCCAGACCUGGGCCACAUAAAAUAAUAGAAGUCACUCUACAGUAUGCGGGCCAGAUCUGGGCCACGUCAAUAAAUAAGAGUCAUUUUACAGGUUGUGGGCCACAUCUGGGCCAGAGGAAAUUGUUUGAGUCGGUUUUCAGUGUGUGUGCCAGUUUUGGGCCGGGGACCCAGCCAGAACUGGGCCAGAAGUGAAGCAAGGUUGUGGCCCAGAGGUGGGCCAGACAAAUUUUGCUAUC